CUUAAAGCCGUUCUCAGUUCGGAUUGUAGGCUGCAACUCGCCUACAUGAAGUCGGAAUCGCUAGUAAUCGCGGAUCAGCAUGCCGCGGUGAAUACGUUCCCGGGCCUUGUACACACCGCCCGUCACACCAUGAGAGUUUGUAACACCCAAAGCCGGUGGGGUAACCUUUUGGAGCCAGCCGUCUAAGGUGGGACAGAUGAUUGGGGGUGAAGUCGUAACAAGGUACC
rnacentral:rRNA from 1 species